rnacentral:rRNA from 1 species
AUUGAACGCUGGCGGCAUGCUUUACACAUGCAAGUCGAACGGCAGCACGGGGGGCAACCCUGGUGGCGAGUGGCGAACGGGUGAGUAACACAUCGGAACGUGCCCAGUUGUGGGGGAUAACCUAUCGAAAGGUAGGCUAAUACCGCAUGAGCUCGGCAAGAGGAAAGCGGGGGACUCAGCGAUGGGCCUCGCGCGACUGGAGCGGCCGAUGUCCGAUUAGCUAGUGGUGGGGUAAAGGCUUACCAAGGCGACGAUCGGUAGCUGGUCUGAGAGGAUGAUCAGCCACACUGGGACUGAGACACGGCCCAGACUCCUACGGGAGGCAGCAGGUGGGGAAUUUUGGACAAGUGGGGGCAACCCUGAUCCAGCCAUGCCGCGUGAGUGAAGAAGGCCU